UACGUAGGGUCCGAGCGUUGUCCGGAAUUACUGGGCGUAAAGAGCUCGUAGGUGGUUUGUCGCGUUGUUCGUGAAACUCACAGCUCAACUGUGGGCGUGCGGGCGAUACGGGCAGACUGGAGUACUGCAGGGGAGACUGGAAUUCCUGGUGUAGCGGUGGAAUGCGCAGAUAUCAGGAGGAACACCGGUGGCGAAGGCGGGUCUCUGGGCAGUAACUGACGCUGGAGGAGCGGAAAGCGUGGGGAGCGAAACAGG
rnacentral:rRNA from 1 species